rnacentral:rRNA from 1 species
UACGAAGGGUGCAAACGUUGCUCGGAAUUAUUGGGCGUAAAGCGCACGUAGGCGGCUUUGCAAGUCGGAUGUGAAAUCCCUCGGCUUAACCAAGGAAGUGCAUCCGAAACUGCAGAGCUUGAGUACUUAAGAGGAUCGCGGAAUUCCCGGUGUAGAGGUGAAAUUCGUAGAUAUCGGGAGGAACACCAGUGGCGAAGGCGGCGUCUGGGAAGAUACUGACGCUGAGGUGCGAAAGCGUGGGGAGCAAACAGG